AGCUAGUUUCAUGCUUCGGGUAGGGAAAGAAGACAGAGAAUUGGAAUUUUUUUUCUUCAUAGGGUUUUGGGAAGAUUGAGGCAAUCGUUGCUGAAGUCAGUGUUGUAAUGGUGAAUCGGGAUUUUUAAUGAAGUGGAUUUGAUUACUCUUGAUUGUUUUGUGAAAUCGAGUUACGUCUGUGAUGAAGAAUUAAAAAGGUGUCUAUAGGAUUGAGUAUAAAAGUGAAUGAAAUUUAUUGGCUUAAUCUAAUGAGACAGUCAGUGGAUACAAGAUCGUGAGUAUAAAUCGG
rnacentral:lncRNA from 1 species